UCUUCGUCGUCGCAUAGUCAUUGCCAGGAGCGUGUCUAGCUUUUUGGGGACUCUAUGCAAAAUGUCCUGGCCAGGGCUGGACUGGGACCAAAACAUGGCCAUGGUAUUUUUGGCCAUGGCGGUCCAUCAUGAUUGUUAGUAUUAUUAUUACCAAGUCUACUGAUAGCAUUAUUUGAAAACAAAGGCUAAAAAGGCAACGCACACACACACACACACACACACACACACACACACACACACACACACACACACACACACACACACACACACACACACACACACACACACACACACACACACACACACACACACACACACACACACACACACACACACACACACACACACACACACACACACACACACACACACACACACACACACACACACACACACACCUCCAAACCAGCAAGGAUGAGGAUGUGCACAAAACUCUAUAGGCUAAUAUUAUGCAUGUUUUAAGUCUGACUGAAUAAAAUGAGGCCUGUAAUAACUUCCUAUGUUGAGCAUUUGCACACUUUAAGCCUACAAUUUCCACAGAUACUAUUUUAUGAAGAUGUAUAGACAUCCCAAAACAUUUUCAUGCUUAAUUUCAAGGGCUAUCAUCAUUUGUGUCACUCCAGUGUAGCUCAGAUGGAAAAAAAUUAUAACCUUGGUCAUGUUGGAGGGGAAGGGCGGGCCGAGGAGGGAGACGAGGGAUGAGAGGUUUCAAUUUUAUUUAAAGAAUUCCUUCACUCAGGAUUCUAGCUGCAUGCCUCUCAGUUUUUAAGUCUGGGAGCAUGCGAAGUGGCGUGUAAAAACACAAUCUUGUUUUUUUGGAUUUGUUGGUUUAGCAGCUUGUGUUGCUUACGUCUCAAAGCUGAUUCGAAAAAUGAAUCAGCUAUGAGACGUGCUAACAUAGGCAGAGUUUGCGGGGGCAGGGAGAGCACCCCAUGGUGGCUGAAACAGGUAUUUGCAUAAAAAAAAAAAACCAGAACAUUGUGAAAGCAUAAGCAGGACACAAAAAACGAAAAUGACUGCUGCAUCAGUCUAAACAUCUUGCCGUGCAACGCUGCAAUAAAGAUUGCCUAAAUGGUUUUGGGUAUUUGGGUGGCAACUGAUUGUUCACUUUUACAUUAUAGUUUAGUCAAGACUGCCGUGCCGUGAUUGGCUUUACAUUUUUCAAAUUGUUAAAUUGUUAAAAAUGUAAUUUAAAAUCUGCUGUAAAAAUAAACAUAUGUUUAUU